CAAACCAAAGCUGGCGACCGGCGCACGGGUGAGUAACACGUAUCCAACCUGCCGACAACACUGGGAUAGCCUUUCGAAAGAAAGAUUAAUACCGGAUGGCAUAGUUUUCCCGCAUGGGAUAAUUAUUAAAGAAUUUCGGUUGUCGAUGGGGAUGCGUUCCAUUGGGCAGUUGGCGGGGUAACGGCCCACCAAACCAACGAUGGAUAGGGGUUCUGAGAGGAAGGUCCCCCACAUUGGAACUGAGACACGGUCCAA
rnacentral:rRNA from 1 species